rnacentral:rRNA from 1 species
GACGAACGCUGGCGGCGUGCUUAACACAUGCAAGUCGAACGACGUGGCGAACGGGUGAGUAACGCGUAAUCAACCUGCCCUUCAGAGGGGGACAACAGUUGGCAACGACUGCUAAUACCGCAUACUGAAGGAGGGGAUUGCGUCUGAUUAGCUAGUUGGAGGGGUAACGGCCCCCCAGGGCGAGGAUCAGUAGCCGUGCGGAGAGGAUGAACGGCCACAUUGGGACUGAGACACGGCCCAGACUCCUACGGGAGGCAGCAGUGGGGAAUCUUCCGCAAUGGACGAAAGUCUGACGGAGCAACGCCGCGUGAGUUAUGACGGCCUUCGGGGUGUAAAGCUCUGUUAAUCGGGACGCGGUACCGGAAUAGAAAGCCACGGCUAACUACGUGCCAGCAGCCGCGGUAAUAC